CAGUCUUCUGCAACUUCGGCUUCACAGACAGCAGCAGUGACACCGAGGACGACGUGAACUGGUUUUAAGACGUGGUUGUUUGUUUCUUUGUUUUUUUAAAUCCCCACUUAGCCCAGCAGCUCAGGUCAGAGGAUGUGGAGCGUCGCUGCUCCUGCCAGACCUCAGUGAAACUUUUGUCGGUGAGCGGAGCGCACACAGAGGGGAAGAGCUGGACCCGCAGCCCGUGUGUCGGUCACCGGAGAAGAUGGGAGACUUCCACUAGGCUGUCUCCGAGAAAACAUCAUGGCUGUAGACGCUGCAUCCAGUUUCAGUUUCUGCAGGCCAGCUGUGGAGUAUAGGGCUCUGCCCGAGGACUUUAAGCACCAGCUGAGUCGACGGACAGGUGGGAACCUGACCUGGCAUGACGGCCGCGGACAGAAGACAGCGGGAGGCAGAACAGUGAAGCUGCUACAGCAGCCGGGGACCGAGGCCCUGCAGUACCGCUCCAGUGACAAUUAUGGGAUAUAUCACACGAGCCCAACACAGCCCAGCCUGAUCCGUCCUGUUGUUCUUUGGUCUCAACAAGAUGUGUGCAAGUGGCUGAAGAAACACUGUCCACACAACUACCUGACCUAUGUGGAAGCGUUCUCCCACCACGCCAUCACAGGCCGAGCGUUACUGCGCCUGAAUGGGGAGAAGCUGGAGCGCAUGGGUUUAGUGCAGGAGACACUUCGACAGGAGCUGCUGCAACAAGUGCUGCAGCUCCAGGUGCAGGAGGAGGGACGCAACCUGCAGCUGCUCAGCAGAGAAACCGUCAGACCUCCACAGUGUUGUUCAGAUGGACUUGUUUUGUCUGCAGAUUCCCAAAAGAUAAAGUUAAAAGGCAUUCAUGAACCACAGCACUGAAGAUAACAGACUCAAGACAUGACAAGUAUGGGAGUAUUCCUGUUGGUCGAAAAAGCAUCUGCAGAGAGCUGUAAUAUUGAGUUAUUAUUGUGUUUUAUAAUUAUGUUGUUUAAAUAUUCCAGUUAUCAACAGAAUAUAAGCCUUUUGUACAGUUCUGACAUUUAUAGCUAACCAGAACAGUUUAAUCACUUGUAAAUUCAGAGGGUUGGGAUAUAUCGAGCGGUGAAAGCUUAUUAUUGCACCUGUAAAAAAAAAAGUUUAAAAAACUUGCUAUUAAAAGUUAAAAAAAAAUAUCCG